UACGAAGGGGGCUAGCGUUGCUCGGAAUUACUGGGCGUAAAGCGCGCGCAGGCGGCUAUCCAAGUCAGUGGUGAAAGCCCGGAGCUCAACUCCGGAACUGCCGUUGAAACUGUUUAGCUUGAGGAUGAGAGAGGUGAGUGGAAUUCCCAGUGUAGAGGUGAAAUUCGUAGAUAUUGGGAAGAACACCGGUGGCGAAGGCGGCUCACUGGCUCAUUACUGACGCUCAGGCGCGAUAGCGUGGGGAUCAAACAGG
rnacentral:rRNA from 1 species